rnacentral:tRNA from 1 species
CUUUCUUUUGCUCAGUUGGUUAGAGCGGUCGGCUCAUAACCGAUUGGUCGGGGGUUCGAGUCCCUCAAGGCCCACCA